CAAAAUUGUCUCUUUUAGUAUUUGUCCAGAAGGUUUCCUUUAAAAGGAAACCCCU
ensembl:snRNA U7 U7 small nuclear RNA